rnacentral:rRNA from 1 species
UUUACGGAGAGUUUGAUCCUGGCUCAGGACGAACGCUGGCGGCGUGCUUAACACAUGCAAGUCGAACGAUGAUCAGGAGCUUGCUCCUGUGAUUAGUGGCGAACGGGUGAGUAACACGUGAGUAACCUGCCCCUGACUCUGGGAUAAGCGUUGGAAACGACGUCUAAUACUGGAUAUGAUCACUGGUCGCAUGGCCUGGUGGUGGAAAGAUUUUUUGGUUGGGGAUGGACUCGCGGCCUAUCAGCUUGUUGGUGAGGUAAUGGCUCACCAAGGCGACGACGGGUAGCCGGCCUGAGAGGGUGACCGGCCACACUGGGACUGAGACACGGCCCAGACUCCUACGGGAGGCAGCAGUGGGGAAUAUUGCACAAUGGGCGAAAGCCUGAUGCAGCAACGCCGCGUGAGGGAUGACGGCCUUCGGGUUGUAAACCUCUUUUAGUAGGGAAGAAGGGAGCUUCGGUUCUUGACGGUACCUGCAGAAAAAGCACCGGCUAACUACGUGCCAGCAGCCGCGGUAAUACGUAGGGUGCAAGCGUUGUCCGGAAUUAUUGGGCGUAAAGAGCUCGUAGGCGGUUUGUCGCGUCUGCUGUGAAAUCCCGAGGCUCAACCUCGGGCUUGCAGUGGGUACGGGCAGACUAGAGUGCGGUAGGGGAGAUUGGAAUUCCUGGUGUAGCGGUGGAAUGCGCAGAUAUCAGGAGGAACACCGAUGGCGAAGGCAGAUCUCUGGGCCGUAACUGACGCUGAGGAGCGAAAGCAUGGGGAGCGAACAGGAUUAGAUACCCUGGUAGUCCAUGCCGUAAACGUUGGGCGCUAGAUGUAGGGACCUUUCCACGGUUUCUGUGUCGUAGCUAACGCAUUAAGCGCCCCGCCUGGGGAGUACGGCCGCAAGGCUAAAACUCAAAGGAAUUGACGGGGGCCCGCACAAGCGGCGGAGCAUGCGGAUUAAUUCGAUGCAACGCGAAGAACCUUACCAAGGCUUGACAUACACCGGAAACGGCCAGAGAUGGUCGCCCCCUUGUGGUCGGUGUACAGGUGGUGCAUGGUUGUCGUCAGCUCGUGUCGUGAGAUGUUGGGUUAAGUCCCGCAACGAGCGCAACCCUCGUUCUAUGUUGCCAGCGGGUUAUGCCGGGGACUCAUAGGAGACUGCCGGGGUCAACUCGGAGGAAGGUGGGGAUGACGUCAAAUCAUCAUGCCCCUUAUGUCUUGGGCUUCACGCAUGCUACAAUGGCCGGUACAAAGGGCUGCGAUACCGUAAGGUGGAGCGAAUCCCAAAAAGCCGGUCUCAGUUCGGAUUGAGGUCUGCAACUCGACCUCAUGAAGUCGGAGUCGCUAGUAAUCGCAGAUCAGCAACGCUGCGGUGAAUACGUUCCCGGGCCUUGUACACACCGCCCGUCAAGUCAUGAAAGUCGGUAACACCCGAAGCCGGUGGCCUAACCCUUGUGGAAGGAGCCGUCGAAGGUGGGAUCGGUGAUUAGGACUAAGUCGUAACAAGGUAGCCGUACCGGAAGGUGCGGCUGGAUCACCUCCUUUCUAAGGA